CUGCAGCUGCUCCUAGUUCUUCACGAUAAUUUGGGAGUGGGAACUAUCACGAUGACUAGUGACCCGGUGAGAUUAGACGACGGUGCGGGGGAGGGAUGGAUAGUACCAGCCAGAGGAGAGAAGGGAGGCAAUGACAGUCAGGGACUUGAGAAAAGCCUGCCAGGAUGCCGAGAUCACCGCCCUGCUCCAGGCCCUGCGGGAAGGAAAGGCCACCUAGGAAGGCUGCCACCCACACGGCCGGGUGUCCCCUGACCUCGGGGCUUGGAGACCCGCCACGCCCGGAAAUCCAAGACCGCUCUCUCACACCCAGGAGGUGCUUGUCCACGCCUAUCAGACGAAGCAGUCCAGCAGUUGGUGGAACUCUGUCGGACCCCUGUUUGGUGGGGCGCCCCCAGGCCAGGGCAGCCUUGUGAACUGAGCCCUGGAAAUGCAGAUGCCAGGGGCCUGGCCUGCAGGGGCAGACAGUGUCCUCUGAAGGGGAAGGGUAAAGAGAUUCUGUGAGUGAAAGGAGCAGAACUUGAAGUUCUUGUGGAAAUCCACGGGAGGCUGUGAGGAUCCCAGUGAGGAAGGCCAGGCAUCUGAUCCGCACCCACCUGGUCACCUCCCCUCCCUGAGCUUGGUUCCUCCAUCAGAGAUGAGGUUUACAAAACAGACCCUCCAGGCUUCAUCCCCAGAGACUUAAACUCCACGUGUCCGGGAUGAAGCUGAGCAAACAUUUCCAAGAUGGUUCCUGGGAUGGACCAGACUGGACCAGUUCCCAUCAGCAAAAACAUGCCAGGACUCUACAGAGUGUCCCAGGGGUGCUGCCAGUUGAGGGAUUUUCCUAGGUUUUAUAACUUUGUUGACAACCUAAACCCCAUAACACAAGCAGGUUUGGAACUGUUCUCACUAAUGACUCCUGGACACGUUAGUAUAAACACCCCUCCCUGUAAGUUGUAUUUGUGAGCAUCUUCACAUUCUGCAUUUUGGUAAUUUUUCUCAAUAACAUGCAUGCCAAGUCUCUUC